rnacentral:rRNA from 1 species
UACGGAGGGUGCAAACGUUGCUCGGAAUCAUUGGGCGUAAAGCGCACGUAGGCGGCGCGUCAAGUCGGGUGUGAAAGCCCUGGGCUCAACCCAGGAAGUGCAUUCGAAACUGGCGCGCUUGAAUAUGGAAGAGGGUCGCGGAAUUCCCGGUGUAGAGGUGAAAUUCGUAGAUAUCGGGAGGAACACCAGUGGCGAAGGCGGCGACCUGGGCCAAUAUUGACGCUGAGGUGCGAAAGCGUGGGGAGCAAACAGG